rnacentral:rRNA from 1 species
UACGGAGGGUGCAAGCGUUUAUCCGGAUUCACUGGGUUUAAAGGGUGCGUAGGUGGGCAGGUAAGUCAGUGGUGAAAUCUCCGGGCUCAACCCGGAAACUGCCAUUGAUACUAUCAGUCUUGAAUAUCGUGGAGGUAAGCGGAAUAUGUCAUGUAGCGGUGAAAUGCUUAGAUAUGACAUAGAACACCAAUUGCGAAGGCAGCUUACUACCCGAAUAUUGACACUGAGGCACGAAAGCGUGGGGAUCAAACAGG